GAUGAACGCUGGCGGCGUGCCUAAUACAUGCCAGUCGAGCGAACAGACGAGGAGCUUGCUCCUCUGACGUUAGCGGCGGACGGGUGAGUAACACGUGGAUAACCUACCUAUAAGACUGGGAUAACUUCGGGAAACCGGAGCUAAUACCGGAUAAUAUAUUGAACCGCAUGGUUCAAUAGUGAAAGACGGUUUUGCUGUCACUUAUAGAUGGAUCCGCGCCGCAUUAGCUAGUUGGUAAGGUAACGGCUUACCAAGGCGACGAUGCGUAGCCGACCUGAGAGGGUGAUCGGCCACACUGGAACUGAGACACGGUCCAGACUCCUACGGGAGGCAGCAGUAGGGAAUCUUCCGCAAUGGGCGAAAGCCUGACGGAGCAACGCCGCGUGAGUGAUGAAGGUCUUCGGAUCGUAAAACUCUGUUAUUAGGGAAGAACAAAUGUGUAAGUAACUAUGCACGUCGUGACGGUACUUAAUCAGAAAGCCACGGCUAACUACG
rnacentral:rRNA from 1 species